rnacentral:rRNA from 1 species
UACAGAGGUCCCGAGCGUUGUUCGGAUUUACUGGGCGUAAAGGGCGCGUAGGCGGCGCGGUAAGUCACUUGUGAAAUCUCUGAGCUUAACUCAGAACGGCCAAGUGAUACUGCAGUGCUAGAGUGCAGAAGGGGCAAUCGGAAUUCUUGGUGUAGCGGUGAAAUGCGUAGAUAUCAAGAGGAACACCUGAGGUGAAGACGGGUUGCUGGGCUGACACUGACGCUGAGGCGCGAAAGCCAGGGGAGCAAACGGG